rnacentral:rRNA from 1 species
UACAGAGACUGCAAGCGUUAUUCGGAUUCACUGGGCGUAAAGGGUGCGCAGGCGGCCAAGUGUGUUAGGCGUGAAAGCCUGAGGCUUAACCUCAGAAUUGCACCUAAAACUACAUGGCUAGAGCAUUGGAGAGGGUAGCGGAAUUCACGGUGUAGCAGUGAAAUGCGUAGAUAUCAGGAGGAACACCGAUGGCGAAGGCAGGUCUCUGGGCUGACACUGACGCUCAUGCACGAAAGCGUGGGGAGCAAACAGG